CAGGAACAGCUGAGCGUCGCGUCUCACAGCACUGCCCGCUUCUGACACUGCCUGUGCUUGCGUUGGUGCUGAAGAUGUUGGUGUAGUCUACACUUGAUUUCCUCUCCGUGACUUCUAAGUAAUUGGAGUGGCUGGUCUCUCGCGGCUCCGGGCUUGAUGGACGCACGAAGGCUGAUGUAGAGGAGGAGAAGGUAGAGGAACGGGUCACCGGCAUGAUUUUUUCCGGGUUGCUGGCGAAUGACGGGAAGCGGGGAGGCGCAAGCUGUUAAGUCAUUGGCGCGGUCGCUGAAUAAAUAAACAACUGAAUAUGGAUCUUUUAUAAUAGGAUUCGAAUUUUGAAAAUCUUCCGCUCUCAACAGGAUCAUAGGCAUCUUGACAACGAGGUGGCCGGUGACCUGCGACCUUUGGGCAGUGGCUUGACCCGGCCUGACCUCCUCCAUCAUGACCAGCUGCAACACCUUCUCCUUCACUGUGAUCCGUACAUACCAAGGCUCCACGUCGCACGUCACCAAGGAGGCGUCCAGAUGUCUGUGUAUAGAGGCGAAAAUAUUCUCCACGAGGAUGGCAAGCAAGUAACGGACAGUAGCUAUUCUCUAUAACACUGGUGGGAGAAAACGAAGUAGUUCACCUGUACGUGUUCACCUCCAGGACGAAACAGUUGCUCUCCUCGUCCUCGGUCAACUGGAACGUGAGCUUGGCGGCGUUGACAUUCAAGGGGCGCCCGUCAUCAGUGAAAAGACGAACCUCACGCCGCUGCUGCGAUACACAUUCACACAAAACAAGUGAGUAAACAUGACAAGGAACAUUAAAAUACAUUAAAAACAAUAAGGAAAAUAGAAAUAGAAAAAAAAAGUUGACGUAGACAUUGAGUGAAAGUGACAAGGAAUGUUAAAAAUAUAAUAAAAACAACAAAUACAGUGAGGAAAAUAACAAGGAACUAAGAACUAAACAUUGAAUUAGUGUGGCUGGGAAUAUUAUGCAAAAAAGAGUUUAGAAAUAGAAAUUGUACAUAUUGCUGUAUAAAAGUAUAUGUAAAUGUGUGCAGUGAUGACGAGAGAAAGAAAAGAAUAACAUGUUACAAUAACGAAAUAUAAAGAAAACGAUGGCAGUAAUCUGUAGCAACGUUCCCGCUAUUCUCCGUAAAGAAAAAUAAGAUAGAAAUAUAAAAUAUAGAAAUACCAGCUGUUGCAUGUAUUUCUGCUUGAAGGUAUAACUAUAUAUAGGGAUUCUCGGAAAACUUGAUGAAAUAUAAGGAAAACUAUGUAAAAUGAAUUACUGAAACACAUUGAAGUGA
rnacentral:lncRNA from 1 species